GCACUAGGUGGGGAGUUAGCGGUGCCCUAUUCCUGCAAUCCGCUAUAGCAGGGCUGAAUGCUUUUCUAGGUACAUUAUAUGGAAGGCUGAUCAGAGCAAGUGAUUAUGAUACCAAGGUCUUGUGCAACAGCACUUUGUGAACCAUGUCAGAGCCUGACCGCAGCAGCAUUAAGCAAAAUCUGCUGUGUGCCACAAGGAUGCUUUGGAGGAGUUAACUACUCUGCCA
rnacentral:SRP_RNA from 1 species